CCGACGCGGGGCUCGAACCCACAGACUGUGAGAUCACGACCUGAGCCGAAGUCGGACGCUUAACCACUGAGCCACCCAGGUGCCCCUGUUUUAGCAUGUCUACUCACAGUUUCUAAUCGUAAAGAUGUUCAGAGACAUAACUUAUUAUUGUGCCCACAUUACAACCGGGAGGCCAAGGCACAAGAGAAGUCCCUUGUCACAUAGGCCAGUUGCAGAGCCCAGGUUAGGAGGUGGGUCUGUGGAACCCACACCUGGUGAGCCGCUCCUGGAUGAACCAACUUGCCUGAUCUCACCAGAGAUGUCGAGGCUCUCCCCUUGGCUUCUGGGGGGAGAAUCAGGGUGUUGGGGCAUGGGCGGGGGAGGGGAGGGAGCUGGACGAGGCUCCUGCCACUUGACGCAGGCAGUGGGUUAGACCCUGAACUUGUAAGAAGGUGCCAUCAGCCACCUGUGUUUGGAGAGAAUGUGAGACCUGACUGCUGGUCCCAAGCCCUGUGGGGGAGAGCACCCCCAGUGGGGCUGGGGGUGCAGGCCAGGGUCUGUCUGUUUGCCCUAAGCUUAGGUAAGCCCUUUUCCAGGAACCGAGGCCUCUACAGGUCACCUGUUUGCCCUUUGUUGAUCUGCAAAGCCUCUGAUGAGACGGACUUUGUGCUUGGGAGUGUCAUCAGCCAGGGCAGUGGCCCCUGAUCUCCUGGAAACUUGCCCUCAGAUGAAGAAGCCAAGGGCCGGAAAUGAUAUCGUGUGGCUGAGAUCUCCAGGAGGGGGCAAGAACCGGGCUGUCAGAGUCCACAUCCGUUCUGCCAUCUGCACCAGCCCCAGGGUACCCCCAGAGGUGGGCUGUCUGGUCCAGAAGCCAGCGCUCCCCUGGCCCGAUAACCCAGCUGUCUCUGGCAGGUGCAGGACCACGGUAUUAGGGAUCGGUCUCGGCCCCAGCACCGUGGGGUGGCAGAGCAUGUGCGGAAGCCCGUGGCAGGAGAGAGGGGCCGGGUUCAAGGGGAGAGACUGGAAAUGGCCCAAGACCCGCAGACGUGGCCCGGAGGGGAGUUCGGCUCGAUUCCGUCAGAUUUGUAAAAAUAAUAAAUGAUACGUGCUAACCGAUCGCCGUUACUGAACCGGCCCCGGCUGCCGUUGACGGGCUGGCUUUGCUAGAGGCUCCGCCUCAACGUGGGUCUCUGUCUCCCAUCAAUCGAUCAAUCUGUCUCUGUCGUUCUUGAGAAGCCCGAGGCAGCGAUGCUGCCCUCCCCCUCCCUCCCCAGCAGCACUUGCUAGGCCUUCCCCGGAUGGCUUCAGCUCCUUAGGAUGGGGGCCGGGUCGCUGAUGUCUUUUGUCCAGUUUAGAGCAGUGGGCUUGGAGCUUCGGGACCCGUGUGACCCAGUAGGUCGGAGCCUCGCCAUAAAGCAUGAUGGACAGGUGAAUUUCCUUGAUGGAGGAUAUGCCACUCUGCCGGAUACGGGGUUCGCCAUCACCUGAGUCCGGGAUGUAUGCACAUCACUGCCUCUGCCUCGGACAUCCCCGAUAACCCCCGUGGAACUAGCAGACAUUAGGAAUCCAGUAGAUCUACGGGCGCCUGGGGGGGUCAGGAGGUGGAGCGUCCGACUUCGGCUCAGGUCAAGAACUCACCGUUUGUAGGUUCGAGCCCCGCGUGGGGCUCCGUGCCG